UCAACGGCGCAUGCGCUUGCUCCAUGUAGAAGCGUUGUAAUUUCGUCCCUUCUGCAAAUAUUACUAAUUGAACAUCGUUUCCAAUUUUGAUAGUAAACUUUUAGCGCUGGCUAAACUGUUACGCCAACAUUGCUCUUCUUAGUUUCUGAAAUUACACUGUCGUUGCAGAUUAAAUAAUGUUUACGAAUGAAUGGGUCAAACAGGAAGUGAUUUAUAUAAUACCCAGCGUGCAUUUCCUUUGUGUAAAGACUGAAUGAAAUUACAAAGCAUUGACACUUAGUCAAACUUAUUUAUUUCUCUGCAUCGGUGGACUGGAAUGUGUGUUUGUGUUGUAUCGGCGAUUUUAGAUACUGUACCUUGCAACUGGAGAUUCUUUCAAAACGAUUGCCUACAGUUACCAUGUUGGGUGAAUUGUCGUGAGCGUGACCAGGGCCAUCUGGGAUUUCCUCAUGGGGGAAUUCAGGCAUGUGUGAAGGCUACCUGUGUCCUGCAUAACUUCAUGAGGAUGGACACAAGGACCAGGAGGGGCACUGCAGCCCCCCCGCCGUGUGCCAGAGGAGAGGUCUGCUGCUCUGCAGGAUGUUGCACGGAUGGGGGCCAACAACGCAGCAGGGGAGGAAAUCCAGACACUAGGUAUGUUUUGAUGUGAGAGAGGAUGCCAACCCCCAGUCCCGUCAUCGCCACCUCACCCGCUCGAAGAAAACCGGGGUGGCAGGUAGCCUAGUGGUUAGAGCAUUGGGCCAUAACUGAAAGGUUGCUUGAUGGAAUCCCCGAGCAUCCGUCGUUCUGCCCCUGAGAACAAGGCAGUUAACCCACUGUUACUAGGCCGUCAUUGUAAAUAAGAAUUUGUUCUUAAGUGACUUGCUUAGUUAAAUAAAAUAAAAAAAAUAUAUAUAAAAAACAUUGGGCCAACUGGGGACCCAAGGUUGAUUAGGAGAUUGUGAUGACCUGAGAGAAUAUGACGUUUAGUAGCACUGUAAUUCAUUAAUCAUAUGCUGUCUUCCCUGCUCCUCUGUUCUGACCUCUUUCCCUUUCUGUCUUUGACAUUAUCUCACGGCAGGUAGCCUAGUGGUUAGAGUGUUCGGCCAGUACCCAGCAGGUAGCCUAGUGGUUAGAGUGUUCGGCCAGUAACCAGCGGGUAGCCUAGUGGUUAGAGUGUUGGGCCAGUAACCAGCAGGUAGCCUAGUGGUUAGAGUGUUGGGCCAGUAACCAGCAGGUAGCCUAGUGGUUAGAGUGUUGGGCCAGUGACUGAAAGAUUGCAAGAUCGAAUCCCUAAGAUGACAAGGUAAAAAUCUGUCGUUCUGCCCCCUGAGAACAAGGCAGUUAACCCACUGUUCCUAGGCCGUCAUUGAAAAUAAGAAUUUGUUCUUAACUGACUUGCCUAGUUAAAUAAAGGUAAAAUAAAUAAACACCUCAUCUUUCUUCCUCCCUAUUUUUAUAAUGCAGACCAGAUGUGCAUUGAAGUACAGAUUGAACUUGUGUAUAUAUACAUAUUACAAUUAUAAUAUUUAUAAUGCAUGUAUUAUGUAUUCAUAACACUUGGAUAAUGCAUUCAGUGUAUUGAAGUCAAUACAACCAGCUAUGAUAGCGGAGGUUCAUAUGUCAAAGUGAUUGGUCACCCAGAGUCCGCCGGUGGUGAUUUGCAUAAAAGUUGAGAAAUGCUGAACUUUUUUACCACCUGUUUUAGAGAGAUAUCCUCAACAAAUAUUGUAAGAUCUUUCAUUGUCUGCUUAUAUGCCCCCGUUAUUUAUCCUAUCCUGUAAAAACAGUCUAUGUUCUGAAUUCUGUCGCUGUACAUUUCAAACGUGCUGAACAAAUAGUUAUAUCGACUACUAACUCAUGUCUUUAUCAAAAUGACGGCAUCACUCUCUUCCACUCAUCGUUCCCUUGUGCCAUAGUUUGUACAUCUCAAUUGUUAUAUUGCUUACUUUGUGUAUUAUAAUCAUAUCAUGUGCUUUUCUCCACGAGGAGGAGAUACUAUAUCAUGUUGUUGGGUCUGUAACCAUGUUUGCCAGUGACAGUCUCUUCAGUAAUAGACCCAUGUAAUUUCAGUUGAUUUCGGAUUAUUGUUUUGUUUGCUCAAUGCGCUGUCCGUGCGUCCGUAUAUUGUCAAUAAAAGUGGAUUCCUCGUGA